CAGCUUCCAUCAGAGAAGGCAUCCUGGAGCUGAAGCUUGGCUGAGAUGUUCCUGACUUGUCAGGCAGAUCCCUCUGUCGGAUCAUGGUCCCUUUAUUCUCCUUUCCUCUGAGAACUGGAUUAUUUCAUAAUAUCUCUCUUGGCUCAGAUCUGGAUAAGGUUCUGGCAAGAGACCUCUUCCCAGUGUUGGAUCGCCCCACAGAGGCCACGACAGAUGAUGAUCAAGCAGGACUUUGAGCCUGGGCUUCUGGAAAUGUGAGGCAGUGUACCUGCAAGGCCAAGCCGGUGUCCAAUAUUUAAGGGAAUGACUCACAAGAGAAACAAACACUGGAAAAAUAUGUUAAUUUUAGUGGUGUGGAAGUCUUUCCAGUCUUCUAGAAUUUUCCCUACAUACUUGCCAGUAUUACAAGUUGAAUGACUUGAGUUUGGAAAGAAGCGGCCUGUGCUGGCAUAGACCUGGAUCACAUUUACUGUGCCAUAGCUCAGGCGAAGCCAAGCACAUUGCUUGAAAUCUACUUAUAGACGACAGGCAAUUGACCCUUAACAGUAAUUAAAUAAUAAAUCCCAUGCCUGCAGUGAUUCCAAAACACUGGCUUUUUACCUUCUUGCCUUGGAUUUCUCCAAAUGGCACCCUGUCCAUUGGCGGUUCUUGUGCUUCAAGUGUUUGUACUAAAAUGAGGUCCAACUUCUCAUGAGCAGGAUUUAAGUUAGCACCUGACAGGGACUACAUGAAAAGAUGCACAGAAUCCUCUAUUUGAAGAAAAAUCGAAAGCACUGCUGGGAAAGAAAAGAAAAUCAUCAUAACUGAAAUUUCCGAGGUUGUCUCCACAGCAUGUACUCAGCUAGGCAGAGGGAGAUAUGGAAGGCCAAGAGGAGGAUGAGGAGCUUCCUGGGCCAUCGCAGACCGUUGCGUCAUCUGUCCGUGUCUCGGCGGAACGGGAUGACUCUCUGCCCCUUGAGGUAAGACCAGACCCUCUCUCAGAGUUUAGCUUCCAAUUAAGACAAACACUGGCCUUGUUUAAAAGGGAACAAUGGAAUGAUGAUUCCCUUAA